UACGGAGGGUGCAAACGUUGCUCGGAAUCAUUGGGCGUAAAGCGCACGUAGGCGGUCCAGCAAGUCGGGUGUGAAAGCCCUCGGCUUAACCGAGGAAGUGCAUUCGAAACUACUGGACUUGAAUACUGGAGAGGAUCGCGGAAUUCCCGGUGUAGAGGCGAAAUUCGUAGAUAUCGGGAGGAACACCAGUGGCGAAGGCGGCGAUCUGGACAGAUAUUGACGCUGAGGUGCGAAAGCGUGGGGAGCAAACAGG
rnacentral:rRNA from 1 species